AAAUUGAAGAGUUUGAUCAUGGCUCAGAUUGAACGCUGGCGGCAGGCCUAACACAUGCAAGUCGAACGGUAACAGGAAGCAGCUUGCUGCUUCGCUGACGAGUGGCGGACGGGUGAGUAAUGUCUGGGAAACUGCCUGAUGGAGGGGGAUAACUACUGGAAACGGUAGCUAAUACCGCAUAAUGUCGCAAGACCAAAGAGGGGGACCUUAGGGCCUCUUGCCAUCGGAUGUGCCCAGAUGGGAUUAGCUAGUAGGUGGGGUAACGGCUCACCUAGGCGACGAUCCCUAGCUGGUCUGAGAGGAUGACCAGCCACACUGGAACUGAGACACGGUCCAGACUCCUACGGGAGGCAGCAGUGGGGAAUAUUGCACAAUGGGCGCAAGCCUGAUGCAGCCAUGCCGCGUGUAUGAAGAAGGCCUUCGGGUUGUAAAGUACUUUCAGCGGGGAGGAAGGCGAUAAGGUUAAUAACCUUGUCGAUUGACGUUACCCGCAGAAGAAGCACCGGCUAACUCCGUGCCAGCAGCCGCGGUAAUACGGAGGGUGCAAGCGUUAAUCGGAAUUACUGGGCGUAAAGCGCACGCAGGCGGUCUGUCAAGUCGGAUGUGAAAUCCCCGGGCUCAACCUGGGAACUGCAUUCGAAACUGGCAGGCUAGAGUCUUGUAGAGGGGGGUAGAAUUCCAGGUGUAGCGGUGAAAUGCGUAGAGAUCUGGAGGAAUACCGGUGGCGAAGGCGGCCCCCUGGACAAAGACUGACGCUCAGGUGCGAAAGCGUGGGGAGCAAACAGGAUUAGAUACCCUGGUAGUCCACGCCGUAAACGAUGUCGACUUGGAGGUUGUGCCCUUGAGGCGUGGCUUCCGGAGCUAACGCGUUAAGUCGACCGCCUGGGGAGUACGGCCGCAAGGUUAAAACUCAAAUGAAUUGACGGGGGCCCGCACAAGCGGUGGAGCAUGUGGUUUAAUUCGAUGCAACGCGAAGAACCUUACCUACUCUUGACAUCCAGAGAACUUUCCAGAGAUGGAUUGGUGCCUUCGGGAACUCUGAGACAGGUGCUGCAUGGCUGUCGUCAGCUCGUGUUGUGAAAUGUUGGGUUAAGUCCCGCAACGAGCGCAACCCUUAUCCUUUGUUGCCAGCGGUCCGGCCGGGAACUCAAAGGAGACUGCCAGUGAUAAACUGGAGGAAGGUGGGGAUGACGUCAAGUCAUCAUGGCCCUUACGAGUAGGGCUACACACGUGCUACAAUGGCGCAUACAAAGAGAAGCGACCUCGCGAGAGCAAGCGGACCUCAUAAAGUGCGUCGUAGUCCGGAUUGGAGUCUGCAACUCGACUCCAUGAAGUCGGAAUCGCUAGUAAUCGUGGAUCAGAAUGCCACGGUGAAUACGUUCCCGGGCCUUGUACACACCGCCCGUCACACCAUGGGAGUGGGUUGCAAAAGAAGUAGGUAGCUUAACCUUCGGGAGGGCGCUUACCACUUUGUGAUUCAUGACUGGGGUGAAGUCGUAACAAGGUAACCGUAGGGGAACCUGCGGUUGGAUCACCUCCUUACCUUAAAGAA
rnacentral:rRNA from 2 species